UGAUAUAUCUUUAACAACUACCACACCAAAAUUCAACCGUAAAUUCGUCUUGGAUCUUGUGAUAUCUUGAAAACCCUAACUGUAGCUUCAAACCCUAGCUUUUUUUACACCCGUGUACAACUUCCUUCAUAUCUCACAAAGUAAUUAUUCAAAUACUAUGAAACUUUGAUCUAAAGCUUUUUAACCCAAUUACACACACUUAUGGAAAUUUUGAGCCAAAAAUUCGUCCAGAAACUCAAGAUAUGGCUUCACCCAUAACUAGUAACAAAACGAUAUACUUACU
rnacentral:lncRNA from 1 species